UACAAAUGUUCACACCAGAAUUAAUCCUAAUAGACAAAAAGACUACAAAUUUGUGGGGACACCAGACCCGCCCCUGGGGUCACGAGAGCCAAUCCAGGCGCACGCUUCUCGGCCCCGCCCCGGCGUCCUCCUCCACACCGUCCCUCCCUCCGCCCACCCGAAAGUCAGUUUGUCAGGCGGGCAGGGGGCAUCCUGUCCGAGCAGCUGGCGGUUCUGCGGUUCUCCCUAGCGGCGCUGGCCCUGCUCCCUCUGGCCAGCCGCUGCGGCUGCAGCUGCAGCGGCGGCAGCGCAGUCCCUCUGGGAGGAGUGGUGUGGGCCGAGCGGCUGCCGCGGAGUUUCGUGCCCAGCGCUGCGGCAGCGGCGGCGGCGGCGGCGCGGCCCUGAGAUGGUCUGCGGGCAGGUAUCCGACGUGGGCAGCGCUCCAGCAACCUGCUACACCGUCGAGGGCUCCCCCGACGUGGUGUGGUGACCGGCCUGCCGGCCGCGCCCGCCCGCGCGGCCCCCCACCCGGCCUCGGCAGACGCAUCUGCGGCGUCGGCCCCACGACCCGCGACCCCAACCCCGAGCGCGGCCCCGACCCCCGCAGGGCUCCCCCGCAGUCCUCGCACCUGGGGUCUCGGGCAGGGCCGGGCUGUUCGAGCUGGGGCGUUGCUCGCGGCGCUUCCCGGGCCGGCCCUCGCUGGGCGCAGGGAGUGGGGGAGUGGUGCGGGGGUGGGGGUGGAGGCUGGGAACGAGGCCUCCAGGGACCCCCAGAACGGGAACGGGGCCCCCACCCCCGGGUACUCCUCGCAGCCUUCCCUUGACGUCGGACUGUGAAGCCGCGAAGUCCUUCAGGUGCUCGCGGCGGCGGCCGUGGUCUGGGAAGCGGUCGGCAGCGGCGUGUGUGCACAGCCCUGAAGUCAUCUUGUUUGCCCCCUCGCCUGCAUUUUCUGCGGCCGGCUUUGCUUCAGCACCUUCCGUGGUGCCAGGGCUGCUCUCCUGCGCAGCCUUUCUAAGCCGCAUGAGCGGCACCAGUGUUGGUGUGGAGUGUUUCAGUCUUGAAGUUUUUAAGUGGAUGUUGGUGUGGUACCGUUCGUGUUUCAGGAAGGAUGUACAAAGCAGGGUCAUCAGAAGCCUCUCAAUUCCAAAGAUGAUAAUAGUGAAAAAUAUUGCACAGUGACAGUGAAUCCUUGGCAUAUGAAGAAAAUUUGUAAAGUCCUGAAUGAAUUAAGAAGAGAAAAACAUAAGCCUAUGAAUCUAACCUCAUCUGUGAUGGUCUGCAGCUGGGAGCAACCAGAUCAGUGUCAGUCCCUUUGCAGCCAAUGGCUGGGAGCCUGCAUGUUACCCAAAAUGCUGGAAUCGCAUCUGAAAUAUGUCACCCCAGCCACGCCUUCACUGUGGGCUGGGAGGGGAGUCAGUCAGAAUCUGCAUUGUGGAAUGUUUUGGAUGACAAGCUUGUAUUUGCAAAAGUACACACCCUGUGGGAGGUGCUGUGUACAUACGCUGAGAUACUGCACAUAAAAUUACCUCUGAAGCCCAGUGAUCUGGAAACCUGGCUCUCAGCCUUCGAUAAUUUUGGCUGUUACAUGGAAGUCCUCCAAGUGGAUGAAAGUAUCAUCAAGCCAGAGCAAGAGUUUUUCAUUGCCCUAUUUGAGAAGAGCUGCGUGAAUGACUUUUAUAUUCAGGAUAGAGAUACGUUCUUCAAUCCAGCCAUCGGAAGCUGCAUUUGCAACUUCAGCCUCCGUCAGAGGACCUCAGCCGCCCCAGCGAACACGGCCUUCUGCACAGGGAACGGGCUCCUCGAAGCAUAGACAAGAAGCAGCCCUUAGAUCUCAUCAGGGCAUCUCAGAACUCACCACAGUGGUUCCCCCCUCUGGGAGAGCCUUGGCUACAGUUCCGGCUCUCUGCCCCGAGCACCCUCUGCUGACUGUUACACAAGCCAUCUUAACACGCCUCUUCAGCCAUCAUUUCACAAUGACUCCUGUGCACCUAGGAGCUCCCGGAAGCAGGUCCUUCGGACAGAUGAGACAGAGGAAUGUGAGGAGAAGGCUUGGACGGUGGACCGUGCACUGCUUUUAAAUCAUGACAGUUACUUGUGCUUUUUUUAAAAUUUCUUUUUUAAUGGAGGUUCUGGGGAUUGAACCCAGGACCUUGUACAUGCUAAGCACGUGCUCUACCACUGAGCUAUACCCACCCAUCCCCCGAUGUUUGUGUUUUUAGUGGGCAUAAUGUGCUGGUAGCAGGUACUUUAGCAUCAGACACAGUCACCUGCCUCUGGCCAUCACGUUAAUACCUUUCCCCUGAGCUAGAGAGCUAGAUAGUCUGUUUUCACAAGUUCAAUAAAUUACCUACAUUUUCUUUUUUCUUAAAAAAUGGCAUUAACUCAUGUUUCUCUUUAGUAUCGCCUAUAAAUAAAAUGUGAUUUUAUUAACCAUUUACCAAAGUGUUAAGGGUAAUAAAUAUUAAGUACAGAUUUCUGAAGCAUCAGUCAUCACUGAAGAUACACUUUCUGCUGUUCUUUCUCUCUGUUAUUCACUAUACUUCUGGAGCUCUGGAAGCGGCGCCAGGCAGAACUUUAGUACGAAUGGGACACAGUUGAGCGGGAAGAACAAGUCCGGCCAGAAUAGGAGGUGCGGUGUCCCCACGUGGAGACAGAUGAGAUUACCCAGGAAAAGCGGGAGCUGUUUAGAUGCACUUUAGUCUGUUUACUUCUGGGCUUGUCAGCCUUGGCUGCAUGUUGGAAUCACCAGGGGACCUUAAAAAAUGUUGGUGCCUGGAUUCCAUCACUGCAAACUCUGAUGGUACUUAGUGGCCUGGGGUGCAUUCUGGCAUAGGGAAGUUUUUAAAGCUCCUCUGGUUAUUCUAAUGUGCAGCCAAGUUGAAGGAGCACUGCCUGAAUUGGAGGACACAGAAGAGAAGUGUGGUCCUUCCUUCAUAUUAACAGUAAAAAGGGGGAGAAGAAAAAGACUGGUAUAAAUGUAUAAGAAAAGAGGCAUUGAUUUGUAUCCUUUCAUAAGCCCAAUAAGAAAAAGCAAAAAAAAAAAAAAAAAAAAAUUAGCCGCUAUGACAUGGAUGUAGAAGGAAAGACACAUUGGUUUUUAUAGUUGACUCCCAUUUUUUCACAUGUGCCUUCAUUAUUGCGGCCUCCUUUUCAUCGGAGACUAGGUGCCCCUUUGUCUUGAACUAAGCCCCGGUCACUGCUCCCCCUUCCGGUUGGGAUGUGCACAAAGCUCUCAUCCUAAAAUCAGAGAAAGGGUAGAGGAAGCAGGGAAACCUUUGUUGAGGUGCCAUCAGUGUUUGAGCUGUGUUUGAGAUAGGCAUUUUAUAUAAUUGGAAAUGUAAAUUAUUGCUGCCACUCCUGCUGCAAAAUUAAAAAAAAAAAACUGUAUAUCUUUGUAUCAACAUUCCAGAGCUAUGAAGAGAUGAUUUUUUGAGUCAUCUGUAUUAUUGCUUCUUUACAUCAGCUGAGAUAAUUUAGAGCUGAUGGUACUUGCAGUCCGCAGCAGCAGGACAGUAGGUUGUGAGCAUGAAUAACUCUUGGAAAGGAAAUGCUUUUAUUAGGAGCAUCUGAAAAUGUCUCCAACUAUAGAUUUUAUAAAUUGAAUCACAGAUCUACAGAAUGUUGGCACUGAAAAGGUCUGGAGGAAGCAGGUCAAUCUCCUCUUUUUAUAAAUGGAAAAAAGUGAGGUUCAGCUACCAAUAGAAAGUGACAUUUGUCUUUUACAAUGUAAUUAGCUUCUAAUAAUCCCCAUUAUGAAUACUUCCCAUUGUUUACAACUGAAGAGGGGGGUCAAAGCAUAUGUUGGUGAAAGACUGUACAUUCAGAGAUGAAAGCUGAUACUUAGACAAAAUUAGGCGCUCAUAAUGUUUUUGAGUCCUGAAAAACAAAAACGUAUCAUAUUGGAAGCAUAAAAAAAUACUGAAGAAAAGUUUUUUGGUCAUUUAAACUGCCAAUUUUAAAUUUAAAAUUGUCAACUAAUAAGUUUAAAUUUUCAUUGGAAAAUGCUUGUUGAAAAAUUAGAGAUGAAGACUCAUUUCACUUUAUCAUUCUUCGUUAUUUAAAAAAUUGUUUAAUUUUUGUUUUUUUAGUUUUUUACUUGAAGGGUUUUACUUUAAUUGUGAAUGCAUGUUCUAUUGUUUAGAGAGGCCAGCCUUGUGGUAGUGAGACCUUGAGAAUGAAGUUGCCUAAAUUUAUAUUUGAACACAGCAGCUUGCUUCCUGAGUGAUCUUGGACAACUUAACUUCUCUGUGCCAUAGUUUCCUAUAAAAUAAGAAUAAG